rnacentral:rRNA from 1 species
UACGAAGGGUGCUAGCGUUGCUCGGAAUCACUGGGCGUAAAGCGCACGUAGGCGGCUUGUUAAGUCAGGGGUGAAAUCCUGGAGCUCAACUCCAGAACUGCCUUUGAUACUGGCGAGCUUGAGUUCGGGAGAGGUGAGUGGAACUGCGAGUGUAGAGGUGAAAUUCGUAGAUAUUCGCAAGAACACCAGUGGCGAAGGCGGCUCACUGGCCCGAUACUGACGCUGAGGUGCGAAAGCGUGGGGAGCAAACAGG